rnacentral:rRNA from 1 species
GACGAACGCUGGCGGCGUGCUUAACACAUGCAAGUCGAGCGGUAAGGCCUUUCGGGGUACACGAGCGGCGAACGGGUGAGUAACACGUGGGUGACCUGCCCUCCACUCUGGGAUAAGCCUGGGAAACUGGGUCUAAUACCGGACAUGACCGACUGUCGCAUGGUGGUUGGUGGAAAGCUUUUGCGGUGUGGGAUGGGCCCGCGGCCUAUCAGCUUGUUGGUGGGGUAAUGGCCUACCAAGGCGACGACGGGUAGCCGACCUGAGAGGGUGAUCGGCCACACUGGGACUGAGACACGGCCCAGACUCCUACGGGAGGCAGCAGUGGGGAAUAUUGCACAAUGGGCGCAAGCCUGAUGCAGCGACGCCGCGUGAGGGAUGACGGCCUUCGGGUUGUAAACCUCUUUCACCAGGGACGAAGCGUGAGUGACGGUACCUGGAGAAGAAGCACCGGCCAACUACGUGCCAGCAGCCGCAGUAAAAC